GUGGAUUAGAUACCCUGGUAGUCCACGCCGUAAACGAUGAUCACUAGGUGUUGGGGGUCGAACCUCAGCGCCCAAGCUAACGCGAUAAGUGAUCCGCCUGGGGAGUACGCACGCAAGUGUGAAACUCAAAGGAAUUGACGGGGACCCGCACAAGCGGUGGAGCAUGUGGUUUAAUUCGACGCAACGCGAGAAACCUUACCAGCGUUUGACAUCCUAAGAAGUUUCCAGAGAUGGAUUCGUGCCGGCUUGCCGGAACUUAGUGACAGGUGGUGCACGGUCGUCGUCAACU
rnacentral:rRNA from 1 species